AUUCUAGUAGCUUAACCCAUUAAAGCAUUGGUCUUGUAAACCAAAGACUGAAGACCACAACCUUCCUAGAAUG
rnacentral:tRNA from 1 species